AUUCCUCGCUGCUAAGCUAUCCCUCGCUGCUAAGCUAUCCCUCACUACUAAGCUAUCUAUCGCUGCUAAUCUAUCGCUGCCAACCUAUCUAUCGCUGCCAAUUUAUCUACCACUGCCAAUUUAUCUACCACUGCCAAUCUAUCUAUUGCUGCUAAUCUAUCGCUGCUGUCAAUCUAUCUAUCGCUGCCAAUCUAUUCCUCGCUGCUAAGCUAUCCCUCACUGCUAAGCUAUCCCUCACUGCUAAGCUAUCCCUCGCUGCUAAGCUAUCGCUGCCAACCUAUCUAUCGCUGCCAACCUAUCUAUCGCUGCCAAUUUAUCUACCACUGCCAAUCUAUCUAUUGCUGCUAAUCUAUCGCUGCUAAUCUAUCUAUCGCUGCUAAUCUAUCGCCGCUGCCAAUCUAUCUUUCGCUGCUAAUCUAUCGCCGCUGCCAAUCUAUCCCUCGCUGCUAAGCUAUCCCUCGCUGCUAAGCUAUCCCUCACUACUAAGCUAUCUAUCACUGCUAAUCUAUCGCUGCCAACCUAUCUAUCACUGCCAAUCUAUCUAUCGCUGCUAAUCUAUCGCUGCUAAUCUAUCGCUGCUAAUCUAUCGCUGCUAAUCUAUCGCUGCCAACCUAUCUACCGCGGCGAAUCUAUCUAUCACUAUCAUUACUAGUUCAAAAUAGAACU
rnacentral:sRNA from 1 species